UUGGAGGGCAAGUCUGGUGCCAGCAGCCGCGGUAAUUCCAGCUCCAAUAGCGUAUAUUAAAGUUGUUGCAGUUAAAAAGCUCGUAGUUGAAUUUCGGGAUUGACACAUCGGUCGUGCCUUAAGGGGUAUGAACUGGUGUAGUCAAUUUCUCACCUUCUGGAGAACCGCGAUGCCCUUAAUUGGGUGUCGCGGGGAACCAGGACCUUUACUUUGAAAAAAUUAGAGUGUUUAAAGCAGGCAUUUUGCUUGAAUACAUUAGCAUGGAAUAAUAAAAUAGGACGGCAUGAUUCUAUUUUGUUGGUUUCUAGGAUCACCGUAAUGAUUAAUAGGGAUAGUUGGGGGCAUUAGUAUUCAAUUGUCAGAGGUGAAAUUCUUGGAUUUAUUGAAGACUAACUACUGCGAAAGCAUUUGCCAAGGAUGUUUUCAUUAAUCAAGAACGAAAGUUAGGGGAUCGAAGACGAUCAGAUGCCGUCGUAGUCUUAACCAUAAACUAUGCCGACUAGGAAUCAGACGAUGUUAAUUUUUUAAUGACUCGUUUGGCACCUUACGGGAAACCAAAGUGUUUGGGUUC
rnacentral:rRNA from 1 species